UUGGAUGAUAAUUUGCUUCAUUUUGAUUCAGAUUCUGUGAUUUUGCACAGGACAAAAAGUCAUUGCAAUUAGGGCCUGAGGACAACCUUUAUGUGGAGGGUUUUGCAUCAAAUCUUUUUGCAAAGGCAGAUAAGCAAGAUCGUGCUGGUCGUGCAGAUCUGAAUACUGCAAAAACUUUUUAUGCUGCAAGUAUCUUUUUUGAGAUACUAUAUCAAUUUGGUGAACUUCAGCCUGAAAUUGAGCAAAAACAGAAGUAUGCAGUUUGGAAAGCUGCAGAUAUAAGGAAAGCUCUUAAAGAAGGCCGGAAACCUGAACCAGGUCCUCCAGGUGGUGAUCCUGAUCAAUCAAUUUCCUCAGGCCUCUCGAGCUACA